GUGCAAACUCAAUCACUGUCUCUGCAUGAUGUGGCAGGUUUGCUAAAGUAAUUAUGGUGAUAGGACUGUAUUAGCCUCAGAUGUUACUGAGGUUACCCAUUCCAUCCUAGUACAGGA
ensembl:snoRNA SNORA66 Small nucleolar RNA SNORA66